CUCCAGACUCCUACGGGAGGCAGCAGUGGGGGAUAUUGCACAAUGGGGGGAACCCUGAUGCAGCGACGCCGCGUGGGUGAAGGAGUAUUUCGGUAUGUAAAGCCCUAUCGGCAGGGAAGAAGCAAGACGGUACCUGACUAAGAAGCCCCGGCUAACUACGUGCCAGCAGCCGCGGUAAUACGUAGGGGGCGAGCGUUAUCCGGAUUCACUGGGUGUAAAGGGAGCGUAGACGGCCAUGCAAGCCAGGGGUGAAAGCCCGGGGCUCAACCCCGGGACUGCAUUUGGAACUGUAAGGCUAGAGUGUCGGAGAGGCAGGCGGAAUUCCUAGUGUAGCGGUGAAAUGCGUAGAUAUUAGGAGGAACACCAGUGGCGAAGGCGGCCUGCUGGACGAUGACUGACGUUGAGGCUCGAAAGCGUGGGGAGCAAACAGGAUUAGAUACCCGAGUA
rnacentral:rRNA from 1 species